CAAAAAAAUAAAAACAAAUGGUGAAUGAUUCAUUGAUAAAAACAUAUUUAUUUACUUUCUGAAAAUUUAGAUUUAAAAAAAAUCAACUAAAAUUUAGGAAAUCCUGAACCCACGCCAGAUCCACUUCCAAUUUUGGACACCAUUUUCUGGAGGAAGGCAGAAAUUUUAGGAUUGGAUUGGUACUUGGCCAUAUUGGCGGGGUUGGCACUUAUAUCCUGAAAAGCGGCUGAUAUUUCUGCAUCCUAAAUGUUUUUGCAAGAAAAAAAUGUAAAAUUAAUCCGUUGCUCCAGAUUGCAUCUCGUUUAAUUGGACCCAAAAUUUUGGCCGCAUAAUAAAAAAAAGAACACAGAUAAUAAAGCAAAACAAAAUCCCUCUUUUCUGCUGACGUUAACAUUUCAAGAAAAAAGUUAUCGGUAUUUCUUCUCUUAAUUCAUUAAUCAGACAAAAUUGUCAUUCAAACCCUUAAGCGACGGAUCCCUUGCUAAUGUAAAAAAAGUGCAACUCCAAAAAAAAGCUAUUAACUUGAAAAGCCUCCAAAAUUUCAGGGUCAGCCAUGAGGGUCUUGAAGAAGUCACCCAUAUCAGCACCUGCAGCCCCAGGAUUACUUGUCGCACCCCCCAGGGCACCAGGAAAACCGGGAAUCGAGCUUCCCGGGUGGGUAGGAUUAUCCUUGACAAACAAAAACAUAGAACCAAUUAGCUUUUCCGCGAACGCGCAAACCGAGAGACGAAUCGGGGUUAAGUUGCAGAGCCUUAUCGCAGUCUUUGAUAGCGGAACGUGGACGGUUGAGUUUAUUGAAAAUCCUGGAGAAAAUAGGAAAAUGAUCUAUUAAAGAAUUAUUUGAGGGAAACCCAGGGCAAUGUGAUUGAUGGGAUAACAAUGUUGAUGCAGAUAUUUUUUUAACAUAUAAGCUAAAAGACUAUAAAUGUGAAGAUGUUAAAUGUUCCAUCUAAAGCUGU